GAUGAACGCUAGCGAUAGGCCUAACACAUGCAAGUCGAGGGGCAUCACGGAGUAGCAAUACUUUGGUGGCGACCGGCGCACGGGUGAGUAACGCGUAUGCAAUCUACCUACAACAGGGGGAUAACCCGGAGAAAUCCGGACUAAUACCGCAUAACACAGGGGUCCCGCAUGGGAAUAUUUGUUAAAGAUUUCUCGGUUGUAGAUGAGCAUGCGUUCCAUUAGGUAGUUGGUGAGGUAACGGCCAACCAAGCCUGCGAUGGAUAGCGGAACUGAGAGGUUUGUCCCCCACAAUGGAACUGAGGCACGGACCAGACUCCUACGGGAGGCAGCAGUGAGGAAUAUUGGUCAAUGGGCGAGGGCCUGAACCAGCCAAAUCGCGUGAAGGAAGACUGCCUUAUGGGUUGUAAACUUCUUUUGUACAGGAAUAAAAAGAGGGACGUGUCCUUCAUUGCAUGUACUGUACGAAUAAGCAUCGGCUAACUCCGUGCCAGCAGCCGCAGUAA
rnacentral:rRNA from 1 species